rnacentral:rRNA from 1 species
CAAACGACUCUCGGCAACGGAUAUCUCGGCUCACGCAUCGAUGAAGAACGUAGCAAAAUGCGAUACUUGGUGUGAAUUGCAGAAUCCCGUGAACCAUCGAGUUUUUGAACGCAGGUUGCGCCCGAAGCCUUUUGGCCGAGGGCACGUCUGCCUGGGUGCCACAC